GAAUUGCUAGUAAUCGCCAGAUCAGCAUGCUGCGGUGAAUACGUUCCCGGGCCUUGUACACACCGCCCGUCACACCAUGGGAGUCGGUAACACCCGAAGUCGGUAGUCUAACCGAAAGGAGGACGCCGCCGAAGGUGGGAUUGAUGACUGGGGUGAAGUCGUAACAAGGUAUC
rnacentral:rRNA from 1 species